CACUCGCUUUCUAAACCCUAAUUCAUUUCAUCCGCCGCUCCUCCUUCUUUCUCUCUCUGGUGAUUUUCAAUUUAGGUUUCUUGCCUCCUGUGGUAUGAGCAAGAUCUCACCAGAUCCAACAAUGGUGUGGUCUGUAAAAGUGGUCGAGGCAAGUUCCAACAACCCGAGACGAAAAUGCAGUGGUGGAGAUACACGAGCCAGAAGGAUGAAGCUUUGCAGAUCUGAGUUUUUAGCUACAUUCAAGAACGGUACAAAAACAUUCUUGCGUCAAUCAGAAUGAUGAAGCUUCGGUGUAGUUGAAAUCAGGAAACAAGCAGAGCUAGGGAAGAUGACAAGUCCGGAUCUGAUAGGUUUGCUUCGGUAUAGUUGCUAUUGGUGGAUGAAGAUGGAAAUCAGAUGAAGAUGGAAUGAUGGAGAUGACAAGCAAAACUUUGCAGAUCUGAGUUUUUAUGGUUGUAAACCCUAUAUAUUUUUACGAAUCUUCUAAUUUGUUUUUGAAUUUUUUGAUAUUUUUCAGUUGUUUAGUGGAUGAUUGUGGCAUUAGGUUCACCUGUGAUUUCUUGUAUAUUGAAGGCUAUGAUGAUCCAACUCUUCGUUUUAGCAGGCCUGUUAACUUCAUAUGCCCAUCUUUAUUUGUCAUUAGUUUAGUUUUGAAUGGAUUAAUUGUUGAUUUCAUGGUGCAAGUUAAGAUGCACGUGCAAUGCUCUUGAUGAAGGAUAGAGAUAGGGCCACUAACCAAACUGAGUGGCCUGGCCCUUAAAAAUGAUUUUUUAUUUUUGUUUAAAAUUGUUACUAUGUAUUAAAAUGAUUAAAGCGACUUCAUUGGUAUGAUACGUUCACAAACCUUCAUGGUUUAAAAACGAAAAAGAUAUAUAAAUAAUAAAGGUUCAGCGGAUGGUUCCAAGUCCUAAUUUGUUAGUUCCGUGACCCGACCCGACCCAUCCAGAAAUUUCUAAUGUAUGGUUGUGAAAACUUUGACCACCACAAAAGUGAACCCAUAGAAAAAAAUUCUCGGAUCCGCCACUGGGUAGGAUGGGCGGGGCGGGUCGGGUGACCCAUAAACACUUGUUACCCAUUUUAAUUUUUUCUUUAAAUAGCUUAUUUGUAGAUUAUGAUUACAAAAAAAAAAUACCAGACGCGGGUGCCGUAAUGCCAUAGCACACGGCUGCCAUAACGCCAUAGCGCGUGGCGGCCGAAACAUAAAGAGCGGCUGCAGAAACGCAGCGGCCAAACGCAACGGGCACGGCUGCAGGUAGACUCAACAGGCACGGUUGCCAUAACGCUGCAGCUCGCGGCAUCAGAAACGCUGUUCAUGAGUAUUUCCAUUCGAGGCGAGGACAUCAAGAGAAUAACCUUCUGAACACGUUUCUUUUAAUGUUUGGGAUCUUUUUCGUGCUUGUGAUGAUCAUGUAAUACUGAUCAGAAUGUUGGGACUUUGAGUGUUUUAGUUGUUGGUUAUUGUUGGCAUCAUGUUGAUGAUAGUGUGUUCAUAUUAUGCUUUGUAAUAGCACCAGCAGCCGCACGAGGGAGCAUAUACAACUUUCUGCACAAGCAAAAUGGUUCAUUUAAGCUUCCUUUGUUACUGAAGAUAGCAAUCGAUAUAUCCAAAGGCAUGAGUUACCUGCAUCAAAACAAUAUUAUCCACAGGGACGUGAAAACCGCCAAUCUUCUGAUGGAUCAGCACGACGUUGUGAAAUUGCUGAUUUUGGAGUUGCAAGGGUGCAGACUGAAUCUGGAGUAAUGACGGCAGAAACCAGAACAUACAGGUGGAUGGCACCCGAGGUAUGACUGUGUUUAUAACUUUAUAUAUGUUCAUGUCUUUACAAAUGGCUCCAUAUACAUUCGCAAUCGCACGAAUGUCCGGUUUGUAAAGCGCUAAUACAAGAGGAGAAGAUGAUUCCUCUGUAUGGCAGAGGGAAGACACAAACUGACCCGAGAUCCAAACGCAUACCCGGCGUUGAUAUCCCGCACAGGCCAGUUGGACAGAGAAACCAAACACAUGUAUUUAUUUGGGUCAAAAAAUAUCUUUAUUAAUUAUGUAGCUUAUACACGAUGCGUGUAACCCAUUCAUAUUAAACAAGUUUGGGGGGGGGGUAUAAAGCGCUUGUAAUCAAACCGAAAGCCAAACUGGUUAGCAGGUUGAACUUAUUAUAUAUAUAUAUGUGUGUGUGUGUGUGUGUGUGUGUGAUUGAUUUUAAUUGUAAAUGGAUUGAUGAUGAGUUGAUUUGUGAAAUGAAAUGAGUUAAAAUGUCAUAAUAGAACUGUAUAAUUAAUUAAACUUGUUAAAUAGACGAAUUCGAACAUGACUGGUUUAUUAAAUGGAUUAGACACAAUAACCCAAAAUUAAAUUAUUUUUUGUAUUGGUUUUAAGUCUUGUUUCAGAUUGUGCCAAAAGUUAAUAGAUCGAAAAGGCUGCUAAUCCAAGUUUAGAAGAGGUAAGCAACGAAAGACACAACGGCUGCAAGUAAAGCAGGUACCCACAACACCGUUCCAUCGCUAUCCAUUGAUGGGGAAGUCUCUGGCGCGACCCCAAGCUCCUGAGCCAUGGUUCCAGUACUGUUGAAGGCUAUGAGCACCAUAAUGGUGAGUGCAGUGGCUAGCUCGACACUUUCCAUUUCGGCGAGUGUAGAGAAAGAUAGGUUUAAUAGCUUGUACGAGUGUUGGAAUUGAAGUAGGAUUAGAGGUAGUUUAGUGGGGAUUGGUGGUGGAAUUUAACAGCUAAUAACAUUGUUAGUAUUAUUUAUAAAACAAAGCCUUUUCAUUUGAUAGGAAGUGUGUAUCAAAUUAGAAGACCUUUAAAAUAUUGAAACUGUAUCGGAAGCAUUUGAAUGAGGCAAAUGAUUCGAGUACUUCCAUUCUUCGAAAAAGAGAUGUAAUUUGAGUUUUGUUAACAAAAGUGUCUGUAAUCCACAUUGUCAUUGGCUUUUGUAACACCGUCUUUAUGAAGUUACUGAUUUAUUUUAAGUGA